rnacentral:rRNA from 1 species
CCUACGGGAGGCAGCAGUGGGGAAUAUUGCACAAUGGGGGAAACCCUGAUGCAGCCAUGCCGCGUGUGUGAAGAAGGCCUUCGGGUUGUAAAGCACUUUCAGUCGUGAGGAAAGGGUAGUAAUUAAUACUUGCUAUCUGUGACGUUAGCGACAGAAGAAGCACCGGCUAACUCCGUGCCAGCAGCCGCGGUAAUACGGAGGGUGCGAGCGUUAAUCGGAAUUACUGGGCGUAAAGCGUGCGUAGGCGGAUUGUUAAGCGAGAUGUGAAAGCCCCGGGCUCAACCUGGGAACUGCAUUUCGAACUGGCAGNCUAGAGUUUUGUAGAGGGUGGUGGAAUUUCCAGUGUAGCGGUGAAAUGCGUAGAGAUUGNAAGGAACAUCANUGGCGAAGGCGGCCACCUGGACAAAAACUGACGCUGAGGCACGAAAGCGUGGGGAGCAAACAGGAUUAGAUACCCUGGUAGUCCACGCCGUAAACGAUGUCAACUANCUGUCUGUGUUCUUGAAACGUGGGUAGCGUANCUAACGCGCUAAGUUGACCGCCUGGGGAGUACGGCCGC